AUGGCCUUCUCCGCUUCCGGCUCUGCCUCCCGGCUGCGACGUGCGCCUACCGUCUCCCCGUGUCGGCCCACCGCGCCGCCUUCCGUCCCGGCCUCGUGCGCAACCCAGCCUCCGCAGCCGGCCUCCCCUACGGCGAUCGCUGCGCUCCAUAUUCCAGCCGCCUGCUGCGGACGGGUUCCUGAUGAGAAGAAAGAAAAAAGUCAAGGCCGAGUGCAAAGAAAAAAAGAGAGAGAGAAAGAAAAGAAAAAGAAGAGGUUGUUUGCCUGGUGGCCGGCUGGAAAAAGUGGGCCGGCUGCUGCAGAAAAAAAAAUGUGUGUGUGCAUCCGGCUGCCCAAAGCCGGGUGA
rnacentral:rRNA from 1 species